rnacentral:lncRNA from 1 species
CUCCCUCUGUCUCUGACCCUCCCCCGUUCAUGCUCUGUCUCUUUCUGUCUCAAAAAUAAAUAAACGUUAAAAAAAAUAAAAUAAAAAAAAUUAAAAUAAAAAAAAAUAAAAGCAGGUCAUUGAUCUGUUUACAUGCCAUUGUUACAUCAUAUGUGGUAAGUUGUUAAAGCAUAUAACUGCACUCAUAUUGUAAGGAAUAAAUUGUAUUUCUAUGAGGAAGCAAAUUCGUUCCAUUCAUAGUUGGAAAUUAUAUAAUUUCCUUGAGUAUAAAUUUUACUGCUAUGGCAACUGUAAACCAAAUUUAUAAGGUAAGGCUGCACCGUUACUAGUAAGGCAGACUGGAAGGAGGUGACACAGCACGCCCGGAGGUGGGUCUGACCAUUGAGGGAGAGCCGGCUGGUAACAGAGUCUGUGACCCACCUAGACCACUCCUGUGUUCCUCCAGGGCUAGGACACGAGUCGGCCCAGGGCCCCGAGUCAAAGCUUCUCUGGUAGAAGAGAGAUCAGUUUCAGAGAGCGGUGAAUGCCUAGGGAAGACUUGGAAACGAGAGAGUAAAUACUUCCAAGAAGUUUCACUUUGAAGAGGAAGAGAAAGCAGGGUCUGCAACUACGGAGGAAUAAGGGAGCCAAGCUUGGCUUCAUUUUUCCCUGUUAUAAAUGGACU